CGGACGGGUGAGUAAUGUCUGGGAAACUGCCUGAUGGAGGGGGAUAACUACUGGAAACGGUAGCUAAUAUCGCAUAACGUCGCAAGACCAAAGAGGGGGACCUUCGGGCCUCUUGCCAUCGGAUGUGCCCAGAUGGGAUUAGCUAGUAGGUGGGGUAAAGGCUCACCUAGGCGACGAUCCCUAGCUGGUCUGAGAGGAUGACCAGCCACACUGGAACUGAGACACGGUCCAG
rnacentral:rRNA from 1 species